GUUUAAUCUUCACCUUAUAAGGUCUUUCUCAAGUGCAACCAGACACCAAAGAAAAAAAAACUAGGACAGUGGCCCAAACUCCUGCCUUUCCUUUAAUAUAUGGGACUGUUGGGAAAUUUGAGCCAUGUUGAGAUUUUCUAUAUAAAUGUUCACUGACAAUACAACUGCUGAUUACACUAAAAUGAACAAGUUCAUCUUAAAUUUUCAACUCAGC